rnacentral:rRNA from 1 species
AUACCGAGUGGGAUCCAGAGUACCACAGGAUAGGCAACCCGGUGGGAAGACGGGAGGACCAUCUCCCAAGGCUAAAUACUCCUAAGUGACCGAUAGCGCAAAGUACCGUGAGGGAAAGGUGAAAAGAACCCCGGGAGGGGAGUGAAAGAGAACCUGAAACCAUAUGUCCACAAGCAGUGGAAGUCCGGCACUCAACUGAACAUGUUAGAGAGAAGAAAAAAAGAACUAGCGUGUCCAGUUGAGAGCCGGACGACCACGUACUUUUUGUAGAACGGACCGGCGAGUUAUAGAUAUGCAGCGAGGUUAAGCGAAAGCGGAGCCGAAGCGAAAGCGAGUCUUAAGAGGGCGAAAGUUGCAUAUCAUAGACCCGAAACCGUGCGACCUACCCAUGAUCAGGGUGAAGCCGGAGUAAGAUCUGGUGGAGGCCCGAACCACGUUGACGUUGAAAAGUCAUGGGAUGAAUUGUGGGUAGCGGAGAAAUUCCAAUCGAGCUCGGAGAUAGCUGGUUCUCCCCGAAAUAGCUUUAGGGCUAGCCUCAGGGG